rnacentral:lncRNA from 12 species
GCUGCUUCCUCAUUAUGUAAGGCAGUCUAGGUCAAGUGUAGGAGAGACACUGCUGGCCUGAGCAGGCUGCUGGAUUGCUCCCUCAGCUUCAUGGGGUCUGGAAGCUGGAUCCUGAUCUUUGCUACAUCAUCUUGGUAUUUUCCUAUGCAGAAGAAUAAAUGGUAAUUAAAAUGUGCAGGAUGAAAAGAUGGAGCAGUCAGUGCUUGUACCACCAGGACCAGACAGCUUCCAAUACUUCACUAGAGAGUCUCUUGCAGCUAUUGAACAGCGCAUUGCUGCAGAAAAAGCCAAAAAUCCUAAACAAGAUCGUAAAGACGAUGAUGAAAAUGGGCCAAAACCAAACAGUGAUUUGGAGGCAGGAAAAACACUCCCCUUCAUAUAUGGUGACAUACCUCCAGGAAUGGUGUCUGAGCCCUUGGAAGACAUGGACCCAUAUUACAUCAAUAAAAAAACCUUUAUAGUAUUGAAUAAAGGGAAGGCCAUCUUCCGGUUCAGUGCCACCUCUGCCCUGUACAUUUUAACACCCUUCAACCCUCUUAGAAAAAUAGCUAUUAAAAUUUUGGUACAUUCAUAUCCUUUUUUAGUGGUUACUCAAAAUGGAAU